rnacentral:rRNA from 1 species
UAGGUGUGUGUUCCAGGUAAAUCCGGUUCACUUUAACACUGAGGCGUGACGACGAGGCACUACGGUGCUGAAGCAACAAAUGCCCUGCUUCCAGGAAAAGCCUCUAAGCAUCAGGUAACAUCAAAUCGUACCCCAAACCGACACAGGUGGUCAGGUAGAGAAUACCAAGGCGCUUGAGAGAACUCGGGUGAAGGAACUAGGCAAAAUGGUGCCGUAACUUCGGGAGAAGGCACGCUGACACGUAGGUGAAGUGAUUUACUCAUGGAGCUGAAGUCAGUCGAAGAUACCAGCUGGCUGCAACUGUUUAUUAAAAACACAGCACUGUGCAAACACGAAAGUGGACGUAUACGGUGUGACGCCUGCCCGGUGCCGGAAGGUUAAUUGAUGGGGUCAGCGCAAGCGAAGCUCCUGAUCGAAGCCCCGGUAAACGGCGGCCGUAACUAUAACGGUCCUAAGGUAGCGAAAUUCCUUGUCGGGUAAGUUCCGACCUGCACGAAUGGCGUAAUGAUGGCCAGGCUGUCUCCACCCGAGACUCAGUGAAAUUGAACUCGCUGUGAAGAUGCAGUGUACCCGCGGCAAGACGGAAAGACCCCGUGAACCUUUACUAUAGCUUGACACUGAACAUUGAGCCUUGAUGUGUAGGAUAGGUGGGAGGCUUUGAAGUGUGGACGCCAGUCUGCAUGGAGCCGACCUUGAAAUACCACCCUUUAAUGUUUGAUGUUCUAACGUGGACCCGUAAUCCGGGUUGCGGACAGUGUCUGGUGGGUAGUUUGACUGGGGCGGUCUCCUCCUAAAGAGUAACGGAGGAGCACGAAGGUUGGCUAAUCCUGGUCGGACAUCAGGAGGUUAGUGCAAUGGCAUAAGCCAGCUUGACUGCGAGCGUGACGGCGCGAGCAGGUGCGAAAGCAGGUCAUAGUGAUCCGGUGGUUCUGAAUGGAAGGGCCAUCGCUCAACGGAUAAAAGGUACUCCGGGGAUAACAGGCUGAUACCGCCCAAGAGUUCAUAUCGACGGCGGUGUUUGGCACCUCGAUGUCGGCUCAUCACAUCCUGGGGCUGAAGUAGGUCCCAAGGGUAUGGCUGUUCGCCAUUUAAAGUGGUACGCGAGCUGGGUUUAGAACGUCGUGAGACAGUUCGGUCCCUAUCUGCCGUGGGCGCUGGAGAACUGAGGGGGGCUGCUCCUAGUACGAGAGGACCGGAGUGGACGCAUCACUGGUGUUCGGGUUGUCAUGCCAAUGGCACUGCCCGGUAGCUAAAUGCGGAAGAGAUAAGUGCUGAAAGCAUCUAAGCACGAAACUUGCCCCGAGA